ACGAUGAAGCACCAGCUUGCUGGUGUGGAUUAGUGGCGAACGGGUGAGUAACACGUGAGUAACCUGCCCCUCACUCUGGGAUAAGCCUGGGAAACUGGGUCUAAUACUGGAUACGACCGAUCUCCGCAUGGAGUGUUGGUGGAAAGUUUUUGUGGUGGGGGAUGGACUCGCGGCCUAUCAGCUUGUUGGUGGGGUAAUGGCCUACCAAGGCGACGACGGGUAGCCGGCCUGAGAGGGCGACCGGCCACACUGGGACUGAGACACGGCCCAGACUCCUACGGGAGGCAGCAGUGGGGAAUAUUGCACAAUGGGCGAAAGCCUGAUGCAGCGACGCCGCGUGAGGGAUGACGGCCUUCGGGUUGUAAACCUCUUUCACCAGGGACGAAGCUAACGUGACGGUACCUGGAGAAGAAGCACCGGCUAACUACGUGCCAGCAGCCGCGGUAAUACGUAGGGUGCGAGCGUUGUCCGGAAUUAUUGGGCGUAAAGAGCUUGUAGGCGGUUUGUCGCGUCUGCUGUGAAAGACCGGGGCUUAACUCCGGUUCUGCAGUGGGUACGGGCAGACUAGAGUGUGGUAGGGGAGACUGGAAUUCCUGGUGUAGCGGUGAAAUGCGCAGAUAUCAGGAGGAACACCGAUGGCGAAGGCAGGUCUCUGGGCCAUUACUGACGCUGAGAAGCGAAAGCAUGGGGAGCGAACAGGAUUAGAUACCCUGGUAGUCCAUGCCGUANACGUUGGGCGCUAGGUGUGGGACUCAUUCCACG
rnacentral:rRNA from 1 species